rnacentral:rRNA from 1 species
GACGAACGCUGACGGCGUGCUUAACACAUGCAAGUCGAAGGGAGUGGCGAACGGGUGAGUAACACGUGAGUAACCUGCCCUUUUCUUUGGGAUAAGCCUGGGAAACUGGGUCUAAUACUGGAUGGAUUGGGAUGGGCUCGCGGCUGUUCAGCUUGUUGGUGGGGGUAUGGCUUACCAAGGGUUUGACGGGUAGCCGGCCUGAGGGGGUGGUCGGUAGUGCUUGGACGGAGAUACGGCCCAGGCUCCGACGUGAGGGAGCAGUGGGGGAUAUUGCACAAUGGACGAGGGGCUGAUGCAGCGACGUCGUGUGGGGGAUGGAGGCCUUCGGGUUGUAAACUCCUUUCGCCGGCGGAAUGGUAGUGGAUAAAGAAGCGCCGGCUAACUACGUGCCAGCAGCCGCGGUAAUAC